rnacentral:rRNA from 1 species
CGGACGGGUGAGUAACGCGUGAGGGAUGAAUGCCUAUGGGUUGUAAACCUCUUUUUUCAGGGAGGAAUAAGUGACGUGUACCUGAAGAAUAAGCAUCGGCUAACUCCGUGCCAGCAGCCGCGGUAAGACGGAGGAUGCAAGUGUUAUCCGGAAUCACUGGGCGUAAAGCGUCUGUAGGUCGUUUAAUAAGUCAACUGUUAAAUCUUGAAGCUCAACUUCAAAAUCGCAGUCGAAACUAUUAGACUUGAGUAUAGUAGGGGUAAAGGGAAUUUCCAGUGGAGCGGUGAAAUGCGUAGAGAUUGGAAAGAACACCGAUGGCGAAGGCACUUUACUGGGCUAUUACUAACACUCAGAGACGAAAGCUAGGGUAGCAAAUGGGAUUAGAUACCCCAGUAGUC